rnacentral:lncRNA from 1 species
UAUCUGUAAUAGGAGACCGCUUUGAAAACAGUUCUAGAGACCUAGUAAUGCAAAUAACCAAAUAAUCUCCACCUUUAGUGUAAAAAACUAUGGCGUUUCACUGUGCUAGGAAACACAAAACUCGCUCUUUUGAAACAAAUAGGCAAGCAGAGCUAGUGGUCAGGACGUGUGACCAGAGCUCUGGAAGGACAUCCUCGGAAAUCCUCCGCAUAGUUCACAGUACUAAAACUGCAGCUCUUUCUGAAUCAGUGACAACGUGGCUUCUCUAAAAUCCAUCUUUAAUUAGGGCUGCUUUAACUUCCCGUCCGCGGGGCGCAGCGCCGCCCCGGAGCUGUGAGGGCAGCGCACCCUCGCUCGGGAGCGCCGGGGGCAGCGCUCAGGGCCCGGCCCGGCCCGCACCGCCUUCCCUGCGCUCCGCCGGGCCGCCCGCGGGCCGCGCUCCGUCCGAUGGCGGCGGGGGGGGGCGGGCCGGGCCGGGCAGAGCGGGGACAGCAGAAGGGGGGACAGGGUGCCCCGGCCGCGCUGUGCCCUCCCCGCGGUCCCUGCCUUGGGCCAGCCGGGCCCCGGCGCUCUCCGGCGCUGCCGGCAGGGCCUCCCUCAGGCGCCCUCCGAAGUGUGGCUGAUCCGCCUGCAGUCGGCUGCUCUAUUCAUUCCGAGGAUGGAUAAAGGCGCAACUUCUAAAUCGUCAUCUGCUGUGCUCACCUCAAAUGCUGCUAAAGGAUGGAUGAAGAAGAGGAAUGGAGGAGCAUUACAAGCUGCAAAAUGGAAUGCUUCUUUAGCUUCUAAAAUCAAAACUAAAUUAUUAAAAUAA